AGAGGGGCUGUGGUGCAUUGCUGCUGAGGGUUUGCUCGUGGGAGAGAAACACUCUUUGCAGACCAGGUACACAUCAAUGAAGAUAAUGGCUGCAGCAAGAAUAACUCCAGUGAUGACACCCAUCAUUCCCUUAGCAGCUAACCACCUCCUUUAUUGGUUUGAGACAGACAUGCAUUAUGGUAGCUUUUGAGUUUUGUUUGUCAUCGUACAAGAAAGUCUAAGCAGAAGUCCUGCACAAACAGCAACACCCCUCCUGUAGCCAGGCUGUUUCCUGACAAGAGCUCUCAUCCAGAAGUAGCUCUAAGCCAAUGUUAAUUGACCUAAUGUGCAACAAGUGGUGUGAAAUCAGAGUGAUGAAGCUCUGCACUGCCUAGCAUCAUAGCAUCGAUUUCAAGGCUUCUCUGGGAGACUGGGUGUGUUCUGCAAGCAGGAUGUCUGAAGCACAAGAAUCUCAUUGUACACAGGACAAACACAAAGGGAUUUAUUGACACUGUCUGAUGGAGGAAGGCACUUCUGCUAGCCACUGACACAGGCUGCCUCUGCUGACAAAAGCAAGCUAGAGAACACACGAAGUUGUCACAUUUGUGGGGAUUUCUGGGAAGAGAAAAGCAAACAAUAGCUGUGGAAAACACCACAGUGAACUAUUUCCCCUGCCAGCAAAUUGUGCCUUUCUCCCUGAUCAGCAGCUCAGAGCAACUGAAUGAAAUACAAGACCAAGUGUAGUCUUGCAUCUGGGAAAGAACAAGUCCAGGGACCAGGACAGGUUGGGGGCUGACCUGUUGGAGAGCAGCAAAAAGGAAAGGGACAUUGGGAUCCUGAUGGACAUUACUAUUCAGCCAGCAAUCUGCCCUUGUGGCCAAGGCAGCCAAUGACAUCCAGGGGUUUAUUAGAAGGGGCGUGGCAAGUAGGUGCAGAGACGUUCUUCUCCCCAUCUCUUCUGCUUGGGUGAAGCUGCAGCUAAAAUAUCGUGUCCAGUUCUGGCCCACUCAGCUCAAGAAGGGCCUCAGGAAACUGUCUGAAUCCAAUGAACAACCCCUAAGAUGGAGUGGAACAUCUCCCUUUUGAGGAAAGGCUGAGGGAGCUGGGUCUCUCUAGCUUGGAGGAGCCUGAGGGGUGGGCUCAUUCAUGUUUAGGGCAGUGUUGGGAGAAUGGACCCAGGCUCUGAUCAGUUAUCCAAUGACAGGACAAGGGGCAGUGGGUGUAAGCUGGAGCAGAGGAGGUUCCACAUGAACACAAGGAAAAACUUUUUCACUGUGAAGGUGCCAAAACACUGGAGCAGGCUGCCCAGAGAGGUGGUAAUCCUGCUCUGGCAGGGUGGUUGGACUGGAUGAUCUUUUGAGGUCCCUUCCAACCCCUAACACUGUGAUUAAGGGCUCGAGGGAGUGACCUCCAGCUAGGCUGGGGAAGCCUGCAGAGAGCAGUAGGCAAGAGGGUUUUUUUCUCAUGACCAGUGUGCUUUUCUGGAGAAGUGUUUGGAGUUGGUACGUGGCUGGAGGCAUCAUGCUUUAUGCCUUACUUCAAGCCUGUCCCUCACAAAG